UUCCGGUUGAUCCUGCCGGAGGCCACUGCUAUUGGGAUCCGACUAAGCCAUGCGAGUCGAGAGGGUUCGGCCCUCGGCAGACUGCUCAGUAACACGUGGAUAAUCUACCCUUAGGUGGAGGAUACUCUCGGGAAACUGAGAAUAAUACUCCAUAGAUCCAGGAUGCUGGAAUGCACCUAGAUUGAAAGUUCCGGCGCCUAAGGAUGAGUCUGCGGACUAUCAGGUAGUAGUCAGGGUAAAGACCUGACUAGCCUACGACGGAUACGGGUUGUGAGAGCAAUAGCCCGGAGACGAUAUCUGAGACACGAUAUCGGGCCCUACGGGGCGCAGCAGGCGCGAAAUCUUCACAAUGUGCGAAAGCACGAUGAGGGGAUCCCAAGUGUUGGUUCGUAAGAAUCAUCUGUUUCUUUGUCUAAAAAACAGAGAGAGUAAGAGCUGGGUAAGACGGGUGCCAGCCGCCGCGGUAAUACCUGCAGCUCAAGUGGUGGCCGCUAUUAUUGGGCCUAAAACGUCCGUAGCCGGUUUAGUAAAUGCUUGGGUAAAUUGUGUAGCUCAACUAUACGAAUACCGAGUAGACUGCUGAACUUGGGACCGGGAGAGGCUAGAGGUACUCCUAGGGUAGAGGUGAAAUUCUGUAAUCCUAGGGGGACCACCAGUGGCGAAGGCGUCUAGCUAGAACGGGUCUGACGGUGAGGGACGAAGCCCUGGGGCGCAAACCGGAUUAGAUACCCGGGUAGUCCAGGGUGUAAACGCUGCUCGCUUGAUGUUAGUUGGGCUCCGAGCCCAACUAGUGUCGGAGAGAAGUUGUUAAGCGAGCUGCCUGGGAAGUACGGUCGCAAGGCUGAAACUUAAAGGAAUUUGGCGGGGGAGCACAGCAACGGUGGAGCGUGCGGUUUAAUUGGACUCAACGCCGU
rnacentral:rRNA from 1 species